GAUGAACGCUGGCGGCGUGCCUAAUACAUGCAAGUCGAGCGGAAGGACGCGAAGCUUGCUUCUCUGUUGUUAGGGGAGGGCGGGUGAGUAACACGUGGAAAACCCCCCUAUAAGACGGGGAUAACUUCGGGAAACGGUAUAUAAUCCCGGAUAAUAUUUUGAACCACAUGGUGCAAAAGUGAAAGACGGUCUUGCGGUCAGUACUAGAUGGAUCCGCGCUGCAUUAGCUAGUAGGUAAGGUAACGGCUUACCAAGGCGACGAGGCAUAGCCGACUGGAGAGGGUGAUCGGCCGCCCGGGAACUGGGCCAGCGUCCAGACUACUACGGGAGGCAGCAGUAGGGAAUCUGCCGCAGUGGGCGGAAGUCUGACGCAGCGACGCCGCGCGAGUGAUGAAGGUCUCCGGAGCGGAAUACUCUGUUAUUAGGGAAGAACAUAUUUGGAAGGAACUGUGCACAUCUUGACGGUACCUAGUCAGAAAGCCCCGGCUAACUACGUG
rnacentral:rRNA from 1 species